UUUAGGUCCCUUGCCCUUUGUACACACCGCCCGUCGCUACUACCGAUUGAAUGGCUCAGUGAGGCCUUCGGACUGGCCCAGGGAGGUUGGCAACGACCGCCCAGGGCCGGAAAGUUGGUCAAACUCGGUCAUUUAGAGGAAGUAAAAGUCGUAACAAGGUUUCCGUAGGUGAACCUGCGGAAGGAUCAUUA
rnacentral:rRNA from 1 species